rnacentral:pre_miRNA from 14 species
AACUAAGAGUGAAAGUCACUUUUUCAGGAGGCUGGUUUCAUGUGGUGGUUUAGAUUUAACUGCACAAUGUCUAGCACCAUAUGAAAUCAGUGUCCUUAGAAGGAGAAUUCCUGCACUACCAAA